GCCGAUAACUCCGAAGCAACCCCCGGCACAAAUUCGAAGUCCUUUUCCUCCGCUGCCGUAGUCGCUGCCGCAAUCUCCUUGUCCACCUCCUCCGCCGCAGCUACCGCCGCCAACACCUUUUCCUUCUCGGUCGCCUCCUCCGCAGCCUCCUCCGCCGCCUUCGCCUCCUCCUUUUCCUCAUCCUCCGCCGGCGCUGCAGCCGCCUCCACCUUUUCCUCCGCCACAGCCUCCACUUCCGUCGCCACGCAAGUUACACCCGCCGUGUCC
rnacentral:lncRNA from 1 species